rnacentral:rRNA from 1 species
AACGAACGCUGGCGGCAUGCCUAACACAUGCAAGUCGAACGAGACCUUCGGGUCUAGUGGCGCACGGGUGCGUAACGCGUGGGAACCUGCCCUUAGGUUUGGAAUAACUCCCCGAAAGGGGUGCUAAUACCGGAUAAUGUCUUCGGACCAAAGAUUUAUCGACUUUGGAUGGGCCCGCGUUGGAUUAGCUAGUUGGUAGGGUAAAAGCCUACCAAGGCGACGAUCCAUAGCUGGUCAGAGAGGAUGAUCAGCCACACUGGGACUGAGACACGGCCCAGACUCCUACGGGGGGCAGCAGUGGGGAAUAUUGGACAAUGGGCGAAAGCCUGAUCCAGCAAUGCCGCGUGAGUGAUGAAGGCCUUAGGGUUGUAAAGCUCUUUUACCCGGGAUGAUAAUGACAGUACCGGGAGAAUAAGCUCCGGCUAACUCCGUG